GGAUGUGAGGGUGAUAAGGCUGAGACAUCUGUUACCCCAUUGAUCACCAGGGUUGAUUCAGCUGAUCUGGCUGCCUAGGGGGGUGACCCCUUCCUCCCUCAAGGCUCCAUGUGUGUCUCUCCCGAAGCUGCACUCUCGGUCAGAGAGGAUGACCUUACCGGAUAGAGGGGGACCGGUCUUUGGUCAAGGGUAUACCAGUAGCUGCGCUCCCCUGCUAGAACCUCCAAACAAGCUCUCAAGGUCCAUUUGUAGGAGAACGUAGGGUAGUCAAGCUUCCAAGACUCCAGACACAUCCAAACCAGGCACUGCACAUGGCAAUCCACCUUU
ensembl:misc_RNA 7SK 7SK RNA